rnacentral:rRNA from 1 species
GAUGAACGCUAGCGGCAGGCUUAAUACAUGCAAGUCGAGGGACAGCACAGGUAGCAAUACUGGGUGGUAACCGGCAAACGGGUGCGGAACACGUACACAACCUUCCUUUAAGUGGGGGAUAGCCCAGAGAAAUUUGGAUUAAUACCCCGUAAUAUAGUUGAAUGGCAUCAUUUGAUUAUUAUAGCUACGGCGCUUAAUGAUGGGUGUGCGGCUGAUUAGAUAGUUGGCGGGGUAACGGCCCACCAAGUCUACGAUCAGUAGCUGAUGUGAGGGAAAGACCAGCCAGACGGGCACUGAGACACGGGCCCGACUCGUACGGGAGGCAGCAGUAAGGAAUAUUGGUCGAUGGACGCAAGUCUGAACCAGCCAUGCCGCGUGAAGGAUUAAGGUCCUCUGGAUUGUAAACUUCUUUUAUUUGGGACGAAAAAGGGCCUUUCUAGGUCAACUGACGGUACCAGAUGAAUAAGCACCGGCUAACUCCGUGCCAGCAGCCGCGGUAACAC